GUUGAACGCUGGCGGCAUGCCUAACACAUGCAAGUCGAGCGGAAACGCGCCUUCGGUUCCCCUCGCGUGUCGGACGGGGGAGUAAGACAUCCGAACGGUCCGGAUCUUGGUGGGCAACGGGGCGAAAGCUUUGCUCAUACCUCAUACGCUCUACGGAUGAAAGCAGGGGGCCGCAAGGCCGUACGCGGACGGAGCGGCCGAUGGUAGAUUAGUUAGUUGGGGGGUUAAAAGCUUACCAAGCCGACGAUCUGUAGCUGGUCUGAGAGGAUGAUCAGCCACACUGGGACUGAGACACGGCCCAGACUCCUACGGGAGGCAGGAGUGGGGAAUUUUGGACAAUGGGGGAAAGCCUGAUCGAGCCAUGCCGCGUGGAGGCUGAAGGCCUUCGGGUUGUAAACUGCUUUUGUCCGGAAGGAAAAGACUUAUUUUAAUACAGGGCGCUCAUGACGGUACCGUAAGAAUAAGCACCGGCUAACUACGUG
rnacentral:rRNA from 1 species